UAAAAGGGGAUCGAACAAAGAUAUUAAAAAAAGUAUUCAAAAAAGAAUCAGAAAGCAAAAACAAUCAAAGUUUUUUUUUAAAGGUGAUAGGAUUUUUUUUUCUUUUCUGCGUUGAUUUCUUAUAUUUUCUUUUUCUUUUUUUCCUUAAUCUUUUGUUGGGGUUUUAUUUACUGUUUGAGUAAAGAGAAAUAAAUAAUAGGCGAUUAAUUACCUGUCAUAAUGGAGCCGACGUAUCCAUAUUUACUUCGCCGCAAUCGGAGUCUAAACGGGGACGACGAGGCUUGAGGCGGCGCUGCCUGCAAGCGGUGAGAAGGUUAGGGUCGAAACCCUAGCAGAGAAAAAGAAGCAGCAACAUUUUUUUUGACAUAGGCUACUUAUGUUUUUU
rnacentral:lncRNA from 1 species